rnacentral:rRNA from 1 species
UACGUAGGGUGCGAGCGUUGUCCGGAAUUAUUGGGCGUAAAGGGCUCGUAGGCGGUUUGUCGCGUCGGGAGUGAAAACACCGGGCUUAACUCGGUGCUUGCUUUCGAUACGGGCAGACUAGAGGUAUGCAGGGGAGAACGGAAUUCCUGGUGUAGCGGUGAAAUGCGCAGAUAUCAGGAGGAACACCGGUGGCGAAGGCGGGUCUCUGGGCCGAUACUGACGCUGAGGCACGAAAGUGUGGGGAUCGAACAGG